rnacentral:misc_RNA from 1 species
CCUAUCGCCGACCGGCGAUCCGAUAGCUAAAUUCCAGCUAUUGUGGAUUAGACAACGUUGCAAGCAUUCGUCGCCAUUUCUUGAUGUGUUGACUGCGUUUUGUCGUUCGUGUGUUUGAAGGAAUAUUAAAAGCAACAAAUUCUGGGUUUCUCAAGUCAAAUAACAUGCAGAAACUAGAAACGGCGAGUUCGGAAAAACUAACUAAGGAGAGUUCUCCUGUUUCAAAUGCUGUCUCUACGCCUUCCAUAUCUACACCCCAAAAUUCUGUCAAUGGUACUGCUGCCUCUGUGGGAAAUAACAGUGGAAGAGGAAAACGUGGAAGUGGUAGGGGUGGCAUAGGAAGAGGGGGACAAUCAGGGAGAAACAAUCAAGGAAAUGGGAAAAAUGGUAACAACGUUGGCCGGUUUCAGCGUAAUACAAAUCAAGUUGGUCAAAGCCAUGGUGAGAAAAAAUGGGAAGAUAAUUCACAUGGUAAUGGGCAUCAAAAACUGUCAGAGGAUCGCCAAUUACUAGAGAAACUUGCAUCACUGUCCAAUUCUACUGCUGAUCUACCAAUCAGAUCCUUUACAGAAACUAAAUUUUCAGGCCGCAGCCGUCUGUAUGUUGGAAACCUUGGAAAUGAUAUAGUGGAGCAGGAUUUAAAGGAACACUUUUCUGCAUAUGGAGAAAUUGCAGAAGUCUUCCUCAAUAAGGAAAAGGGAUUUGCUUUUGUCAGGCUGGAUUACCGUUCCAAUUCAGAAAAGGCAAAACGAGAAUUGGAUGGGAAAGUUUUGAAAGGUCGUACGUUGCGCGUUCGCUCUGCUCCACAUAGCGCCGCUAUUCGUGUGAAAAAUUUGUCUCCCUUCGUAACAAAUGAAUUAUUGGAAAAAGCCUUUUCCAUAUUCGGAGAUAUUGAAAGAGCUAUAGUGGUUGCUAAUGAGCGUGGACAAUCAACGAACGAAGGUGUUGUUGAAUUUGUGCGCAAACCAGGAGCCCAGGCUGCAAUUCGGCGUUGCACCGAUGGCUGUUUUUUCCUAACUUCGUCAUUACGUCCCGUUGUAGUAGAACCAAUGGAACAAUUAGACGAUGAAGAUGGAUUUUCAGAACGCGCAUUUGCUAAAAAAACUCCGGAGUUUACUAAAGAACGCGAAACGGGGCCAAGGUUUGCUGAACCUAAUAGCUUCCAGUUUACUUACGGUCAACGCUGGAAGCAAUUGUUGGAACUGUAUAAGCAAAAAAUGGAUGCUGUUGAGCGGGAAUUGAAAAUCGAAGAAGAUAAGUUGGUGUCCCAGAUGGAAUAUGCUCGAUAUGAACAUGAAACCGAACUGCUUCGUGAACAACUCAGACUACGUGAGCAGGAUCGCGAGAGACAAAAACGUGACUGGGAAUUGAAAGAACGCCAACACGAAGAAUCCAGGUUACGAGAGGAGGAAACUCUUCGUCGACAACAGGAUGAAAUGCAGCAUCGAUUGCGCCAGCAGGAAGACGAAAUGCGUCGGCGUCAACAAGAAAACAACAUGUUCAUGCAAGAGCAAAACACAGAUGGAACUCCUCCAGAUUUUCGUCGACCUCUCCAACCUCCCACAUUUGAUCGGCCAAUGAUGGGUGGUAAUGGACCUCAUAAUCUCAUGGAUCUGCAAAUGGAAAAUAAGCCGUUCCACAACUCCUUUGAACAGCGGCCUUUGGAGCCGCCACCGAUGUUUAACAACAUGCCCAUUGGGGGUCGUAUGGAUGGUCCCAACAACAACAUGGGAAACAUGCCACCCCGCGGGCCACCUCACGGAGUUUCUGCUCCGAGGUGGGGCCGACCCAACGAACGCGAUCGUGAGGAUUUUCUGGUAAAACGUCGCCGUUUCUGAGAGAUUGGUUAUACUAUACUCUCUCUGACUUACUUUCAGCCUAUUCUUGAAAGGCAUCAAAACAAAUCUCGUGCAAACCUUAAAAAAAAAAAAAAAAAAGACAAGAAAAAAAAACCACGAAAACAAACAUUUUUAAAAAUCAUUGUGUUCCUUUUUCUUUAUUUUUUACGACAUUAAAUCUCUGCUUGAAUUAGUUCCGUUUCUCAGGUUAAAUCUGAGACAAGCUAUUGUCUUUUUCUUUUCUUUUUUCUCUCCCUCUCUCUUUCUCGUUUUCCCUCCUUUUUUUCUGUUUUUUUCUUUUUUUGUUUGAUUAUUGCCUUUUUUGUAAGUCGUUCGACUCUUGGUGUUUUGAUUUCUUAAUUGUCCUCACUUAUAUCUGCCAUCCCAACCAAUCCAAACUAAUUUUUAAAACAUGACUUUGAUUGGUUUUGUUGGUAAAAUGUGUACUACACACAAAAUCGAUGACCUGUCGAAGAUCAUCUUUCUUGUGUGCUUCUUCUUUCAAAAAUAUAAAAAAAAAAGAAAAAAAUCUUUUUACAAACAAAUUUUUACGCCAAUGGCAUAAAGGUGUUAUACGGGGGAUUGACAACUCAAAGACGAAAAUUACGACACUUAAAAUUUUUCCUCACCUAUGGUGAUUUCAUCAAGCGUACGAGAUUAAACCUCUUAUGAUUGAUAUUUCCAACAUCUUGUAACGGUUGCCAACCCCAUGGCUUCAUGUAUUAGACAUUUGUGUAUGACUAAUGUCUAUGCGCAGAAAUUGUUCUUUUUAGCAAAUAUCAGAAGCCCUUCUAAAAAAAAUGUGUUUGCAAGUGGCUAAGCUGCUUUUAAAAAUCUUUUUGUCCUGCUCGUACUUUGGCUUCGACCAGAUAUCGCCACUCCUUGAUUUUAUACGUAGGUUACCUUGAUCACACCAUAGGAUUUAAAGCUUCACAGUGAAGAAAAGCACUGAAUGCUCAUGUCUUCCUCAAAUGACGUCAGUUGCACAUCAGCUUGCAGAUGAACUGUAUCCUAUUGGAAUGUCAUUUGAGGUUUUUUAAUUACUUCUAACCUGUUUAUCGGUCUCCGUUUUUUUUUUCUUCCCUUUUAUUUCACUCCCGCUUGUCAGUCUUUGGGCAUUUUUCUGUUUACUUCACACCCCUGAAUUUUGUGUUGGGGGUAGCUAUAUCCAUUUGUUGGCAUUGGAUGGAAAGACACUUCAGUGCUAAUCAAAGCACUUGAUGUGUGCUAGUGAAAAAAUGUUUUACUUAUUCAACGCCAUAAAAAAAAAAAAUAGAAAUCUGGUCAUUUGAGACAUGUAAAAAUGUCAUCUUUUCAACAAAAAAAAGUCUAAUUUAAGAUUCUGAAUUCUUGAGAGAUUGGCAUUUUCAAAACUGACUGAUUUUUGCAACAGUUGCCGACCCCAGAUGAUUGCCAUUACUUAUGUUGAACGCUAAAGUUUCUUGCAAGCCAUAAGACAGUAUUUGUUUCUCAAAUAAGGCGUUGUAUGGUGAACAUUAUCAUUCAUUCUCAGGAACGAAACUGGCUUCUUUCAGAAGGCUGGAGUUUUUUUUUUUGCUUUGUUUUACCUAUGAUGUAGAAAAAAAGAGCUGCACCUGGGUUCUCCAGUACAAAAUUUCCUGUACGUACAGAACGCAACUCGAUUUUGCUUAACGAACAAUUAAAAAAGGAAUAUGUUUUUCUUGCUGGAUUUUCUAUUUGCCCUGAUUUGAGGAAAAUGCUUGGAUCAGGUCCAUGCAGCAGGAUUUAAAAAAUGCAUAUUCCUCCUGCAGUUUUUGCCGCUGUUUUGAUUUAGCAGAAAUGUUUCAAAGCUUGUUGUUUGUCUGUGGAACUUUUUAAACAUUGAAUUUUCAGACAAUAUCUGACAUGGAAUCUAUUAACCUGUGAAACAGUAACCACUACGACGACCUUAUUGCGUGGAAUCUGCACGAAUCGUGUAAGUUGGCGUGUUUUGAUAAGGUAGAGGACUACGAAUAAUUCUGUACGUGCAUUUAAAGAACAUUGAUAGAGAGUAAAAUAAUUUAGAGUUUAUUCUGCUAAUUUUCUGUGGUUCGUGCAAUUAACGUAACAAAGCGAAAUGUAAGUCGGAAUCGGUCGGAAUGAAUAGUAAGUAUUGGUGGAAUGGCAACUCGAGCCCUAAGUGUACGUGAUCUACAGUUUUGGCUUAAUGUCAGUAUUCUAGCCAAAAUUCAAAAUGAUUAUGAAAUCCUUUAGGAAACUUGAAAAACGGCUUAUGUUUAACCGUGGGAAAGAAAUUACGGUGUUUUUAUGUUAAACGAGUAAUUUUCUUUGUACUACGUAAACAUUCAGAUUUAAUAAAAUAAUAAUAGUAAUAAUAAAUCUUCAUAAAAUACGAAAUUCUUCAACUAAUUAUAGUAUGGUAAUAGUACGCUUAACUGAUAGCCAGUUUGCCUCACUCGAUGUUAAAUUAAUUGAAAGAUACGUAAAAGUAGCUUAAAGCAUUCAUUUGUAUCCUGACAGUAGACACCAAACUAGAUAAUGGUGAACUAGGAAAACAAGUGGUCUUUAUUUGAGGCAAAAUUUCUCACAACAGUCGUAGCCUAUAAACCGGGUGGUCUAACCAUAAUAUGCUACCAAUUUCACGUCAUAAAUAAUUUUUUAAAAGUAGUGUUAGCAAGGUUGGUAACAGUGUCAGGUUAUCCCAUUACAUUGACCUUUUAUAUUCACAAGAUUUAAAAAGAUGAAAUAUUGUCGUCUGGGAAAUAUUAUAGCGUCAUUGCCACUGGCGUGUUACGGUGUUAGGAAGGCCAAACUGUUGUCGACGUGGAAUAUUUUCUAGAAAUUCUGAUUGACGUGUAAUCCCGUUUAAUCUCAUAACCUCUGGACACGUAAAAUAAGAGCUCGAUAUUUGAAAUAAUAGUUAAGACAAAUUACCAUUUUUACAUGACGACGAAUUUUUAAUUUCAUUAAAAAAAUCUCCAAUAUUACUGAUGAUCACGAGGCAUAAAGUUUUUGUGGGAAAAGCGUGCUUUCAAUUUUUAGUACAAUGGCCUCAUCAUAAUGGGAAGAAACAUGGAACGUAGUUCUUCUUUUCACAAUGUACUUCGAAUCAGUUUUAUACAAUACAGAAACCGUGUGUAGUUUAGUAGCUAAAAUCACUAGCUACCAAACUGUACGUUUUGGCCAAAUUUGGUCAUAUUUUAAUUCCGGGAGAACACAAUAUUGUUAAUUGUUUCAAUGCCCUAACUUUCCCCUACGAUGUUGGAAUCGAUUGCCAAUCCGCGGACCAUUGGCUCACUGUGACAGGAGCGGGCACAAUCUGACAUCUCAGCAAACUUUAUCCGAUUGUUGACUGGAAAAACCUGGAUUAAGCAGAACCAUCAUUUCACUAUCAAUAUAUGAGACAUCGAUUGCCUUUCUCAGUUCUAGAAUAGAUUUUGUGGAAAUGUACUACGUAAUUGUGCUCUGUGCACAUUUUUCCAACUCCUGGACAGGAAAGAUUUUGAAGCCUGCUCACGAGGCAAAGUUCUUUUGUAUAGUCUAGCACAACAAUUUAGUUGUGGUGCGUAUGAGAUGCGUCAUUUAGUGAAUUUUGGUGUUAUAAUUAAUGUUGGUCUUCAUGAUGGAAGCCAAAAUAAGUGGAAGCCGUUUCAAAAAUCUUUUCUGUACGCCCUGUUCCAGAAUUGUGUGCACUACCUUCAGAUUUUAUCAACACGUCGAAUUAUGCAAAUAGUGUAAUCUUGCUGUGUCAUCUAAUCAUCAGCAAAGGAACUUAAAAAACGUGUUGGUUUUUUUGCAUUUGCCAAGACUUUCGCAUUAUCAGCCUAUUAAAGAAAACAAUUUUCACAACACACAAAGAAUUUUUAAAAUUUGGUUGUGAUAUAUCCGAGAUUAGUUAUUUGAAAAUGUUGAAGAUCUUAGAAUUCGAUUUUUUUUUAAUUUUUUUUUAUUUUUCUCUUUUUUUUUUUUUAUAUAUUUUCUACCUAUGAAUCAGUGACUAGCCGGAAAGUUGGCUGGAGUUUGUCUUUAAAUUUUGUGUCGUCGAUGUCGUCUUUGUUGGUUAAACUUAAAAAAUUUAACAGAGGCGGAAGUUCAAACAGCCUAUUAUUAUAGCUGUCCGCUGAACGACAGAAACAAUUAUUUUAAUACUUCCCUAAACAUUACACUAUAUCAAUUUUUCCAUAAUGCUAUAGAAAUAUAAACGCUUACGGAAUGGCGAAGUUAGAUAGUAUACUUUUAUGCAGUGAUCAGCCGAAUCAAUUUUGAUUUAUAGCAUAUUUUGAUUUAAAUCAUGAUUUGAAUCAAUUUUCCAUUAUUUUUGAUUUUUAAUUUGAAUUAGUUUUUGAAAAAUAAUGAUUUUUGAUCUUGAUUUCUCAUUUUUUUUUUACAAAAUUGAUUUUUGAAAAAAGAAAAUUAUUGUUUAGUAAGAAUGGGCUCAGAUUGGCUCUAAUCGGGGUAAACGAACCGCCCCGCCCCGAAAAAGCCGAUCGGGGAACCUCUUCGUUCAACGGGUUGGGGCGGAGUGAAAUUAGAAUUUGUGUUUGAUUUUCAUUUUGAUUCGGAUUUUUGAAUUUUGGUUGUAGAAUGAAUUGGGUUAAAUGGAAUUAGAUUUUUGAUUUUUAAUUCUGUCGACAACGUGAUUUUGACGGCAUUUGAUUCGAAUCAAAAUUUUAAAUGAUUCGGCAACCCGAUCACUGGAGGCAAUGACGGGCAUAAAAUCUUGUAGCCUAUUAAUCGAAAAUUUUAAUUCAAUAAAGUAAAACGCUUCUGCUCUUAAACUAGAACGUUCAACCGGGGGGUUGUCGACUCGUCAUUUGGGUGUACGAAUUAAAAAAUGAACGCUUACGUAUUUUUUCAUAUUUUUCCUUUUUUUUCAUAUUUUUUGUAUUUUCGAUAUUUUUUUUUACAUUUUUUCAAAUAUUUUCGUAUUUUUUCAUAUUUUUUCAUAUUUUUUAAUAUUUUUUCACAUUUUUUCAUAUUUUCCAGAUUUGCUAAAUUUUGUGAAACUUUUUUAGAUCUUUUUUUUACAUGUUUUUCAUGCUUUCUUACAAAAACAACUCUAUUUACCAUUAAAUAAUUAAAAAUGAACAUUUUCUUCAGCAAAUGAAGCCUAAAAUUUAAUUAACUGUAAAAGAAAAGCAAAUCAGCACCGGGACUUGAACUUCAGUACCGUAGAAUCUCUACCCCAUAUCCUAAUUGCCUUAGUACUAUAGUUACCGAUUUCGAUAAAAUUUAAUAGUGGGAUAACAGAAAAUGUUAGUCGUUUCACAAAUAAAAAAAUAAAACAAAAAGAAC